rfam:Daphnia pulex DAPPTscaffold_231_Cont7504, whole genome shotgun sequence.
GCAUCGAUGGUUCAGUGGUAGAAUAAUCGCCUGCCACGCGGGCGGCCCGGGUUCGAUUCCCGGUCGAUGCA